AAGCAUAUCAAUAAGCGGAGGAAAAGAAACUAACAAGGAUUCCCCUAGUAACUGCGAGUGAAGCGGGAAGAGCUCAAAUUUAAAAUCUGACAGUCUCUGAUUGUUCGAGUUGUAAUCUAGAGAAGCAUUAUCCGCACUGGACUGUGUACAAGUCUUCUGGAAUGGAGCAUCGUAGAGGGUGAGAAUCCCGUCUUUGACACAGACUACCAGAGCUUUGUGAUGUGCUCUCAAAGAGUCGAGUUGUUUGGGAAUGCAGCUCUAAAUGGGUGGUAAAUUCCAUCUAAAGCUAAAUAUUGGCGAGAGACCGAUAGCGAACAAGUACCGUGAGGGAAAGAUGAAAAGAACUUUGGAAAGAGAGUUAAACAGUACGUGAAAUUGUUGAAAGGGAAACGCUUGAAGUCAGUCGUGUUGGUCAGGAAUCAACCUUGCUUUUUUGCUUGGUGCACUUUCUGUUCCAACAGGUCAGCAUCAAUUUUGACCAGUGGAAAAAAGUUGAGUGAAUGUGGCAUCUUUAGAUGUGUUAUAGCACUUGAUUGCAUGCAUUGGUUGGGAUUGAGGUAUUCAGCACGCCGAAAGGCCGGAUUUUUACAUCACGCUCGUGCUUAGGAUGCUGGCAUAAUGGCUUUAAUCGACCCGUCUUGAAACACGGACCAAGGAGUCUAACAUGCCUGCGAGUGUUUGAGUGAAUAAACUCUAGCGCGUAAUGAAAGUGAAAGUUGGGAUCUUUGUCAUGAAGAGCACCGACGCCUGGACCAGAUCUUUUGGGACGGUUCUACGGUAGAGCAUGUAUGUUGGGACCCGAAAGAUGGUGAACUAUGCCUGAAUAGGGUGAAGCCAGAGGAAACUCUGGUGGAGGCUCGUAGCGAUUCUGACGUGCAAAUCGAUCGUCAAAUUUGGGUAUAGGGGCGAAAGACUAAU
rnacentral:rRNA from 1 species